rnacentral:misc_RNA from 1 species
AGAGUUAGGGUCUUCUCAGGCCCGACCUCCCAACCCUUUGUUUAUCACACCCUUGUUGCUUCGGCGGGCCCGCCUUCACAGGCCGCCGGAGGACCGUCUCUCGGUCCUCUGGCCCGCGCCCGCCGGUAGCCAAACCUAUCAAACUCUUGCAUAAAAGCGUGUCUAUAAUGUCUGAAUACUAUAUUAAAUAAAAGCAAAACUUUCAACAACGGAUCUCUUGGUUCUGGCAUCGA